UUACAUAUCUAUUUUGGCCUGUAUUCCCACGCUGCCUCCCUAUAUGGGUUUCUGGAUAUCUGCUUUUUGGUAAGCAGCCCCAAAACCUUCUGAAGAUCUUUGGACUUUCCUCUAUGGGUGAGGAGGUCAGGGCUCCCUUAUCAGGCAAACUGCUGACCCAACAACAAGGUGCAAAGAGCUGCAGAUUUUGAAGCUGCAGUUACAAUUUUGACUUUUUCCUAAGAGUUAGCAUGCUAAAGGUGGGGAUGCUUACCCUCCUUCCUGGUAAGGAACAGCCAAGGUAACUGUCUCUCCUAUUCAUUGCAAAUACUACUCAGCACUCAAAUAAAUAAAUGCAGCUUUCUACUGAAGUGCUCCUGAAGCUGCUGAGCAGUGGGGCAAAGGAACUGAUACCUUUUGGGUUGAGUGCCAGAGAAAUUCAGUGUCUGACAUGGACUUUUCAUUUUCAAAGCAGCUCCCAGUGUGGUUGUUCAGUAGCUCAGAGCUCAGCCAGGCUGCAGGUGCCCUCUCUCCCCGCCUCUGUUUAGAUCCACACAACCUGAGCCUGGGAGCAAAGGCCAUGGAGCUGCUGGCAUGUUUUGAAAUAUGAUACAGGCAGCAGCAGGAAUCCAAACACUGGAGGCGGUUCUUACUGAUGCAAUAGUAACACUGCACGCCAGAAACAAGAUCUCCUUCUUACACAGCAGAAUGAGUGACUCUUGGACAUUUUUCCAAAUGCUCAUAUACAUGAAGAUAGCAGGCAAUGGCUGUCCUAUGGAGGGACCUGCAAAGUGCUUGGGGCCCUGGCUACAAAGCUGGGCAGCUCCCCAUCCACUGUGUGGUAGGAUAGGAAGGUCUCAGCCUCAGAGAAAUCCCCAGGCCUGGGUGUUGCCAGAAUGGUCCCUGCCUGCUCCUCACCCCCAGGUCCUUUCUUGAAUGGGUUCACAACAUGUUCAGAAUUAAAGGUCAAAUCCCAAGGUCCUUAGUGAGGCAAAGCUCCUGGCCAGGUGUGUGUUUUACAAUCUAGACCACACUGGGUAACCAGUUUGUAGUGAGAAACCUCCCCAGUUUCUGCAGAGUUACCUGAACAAUACCUGACUGAAAUCCUGUCAGGUGCACAAAGAUGACCUUCCUGAUGCCUGCUCAGUAUAAACUCUUGUCACAAAGUUUUUCCAAAGCCCACACAAAAGAGCAAGCCACUGGAUCUUCUAAUUUAUGCUUUUUGAAUCUAAACCAAUGAGAGGCUCCUGAUGUGCAGAGCAGAAGAUCCUCACAGGGCUGGGGAGCUCUCUGGGCCUGGCCAUGCCUUGUCCUGCACUGCUCAGGGGAAGGGAGCUGUUGUUCUUUCUUGGCCAGUUUCUAGAAGAAUUCAGUUUUCUCUACCUCACCCUGGUUGUCUUCAAUUUUAUGUCACCUCCUGGCAGUUGUGAGCUGCUAUGAUAUUAAAGAAAACAUAUUCCAGUAACAGCAUCAAUUUACUUUCCAAGCUGGAGUGUUAAAGAAGGUUUACUGCCUCUUGAAUCUUCCAUGUCAAAAAACCCCACCAAAAUCUACUUAGAAGCCUUAUCACUUUUGCUUGUAGAGAAAAAGAUCUGAGGUCUUACACUGCUGUAUAAAUGAACAUUAUAGAAUACAAACUUGGUACUAGUUCUACUGGCAUUGAAAUUCAAGUCUGUAUCAUGUGGGAGAUGCAGCUUAAGAAAUACCAGUAAGUACUUAGGGAAAAUAUUUUUUUUAAAAUUUGAAAUAAAACGAGAAUUUUACCA
ensembl:lncRNA